CCGGAAAACUGGACGAACUUCGAAUUCUCUUCUUCGGCAAUAAAAUAUUGGUCACAGAUCGCCGCUACCACCACCGCCGCCGCCGCCUCGCAGCUCAAAACCCUAGUCCUCGUUCCCAAACCCCGGCUAGCGUCCAUGGAGAACCCCAGGCCCCUACCCCCUGCCAUCACCCCUCCCAUGGCCCCCCUCCCCGUCCACCCACCCAUCGCCCCCGUCCCCGUCCCCGUCCCACCCCGCGCCCCCGCCUCCACAUCCGCCGCUGCCGGAGGCGGGGACGAUGACGAGGUCGGCUACGAGGUCUCCGACGACCACCGCGCCGCGCGGAAGCGCCACGAGCGCGCCGUGCAGGAGCUCCUGCAGCGCCGGCGCGCCUACGCCAUGGCCGUGCCCACCAACGACUCCGCCGUGCGCGCGCGCCUCCGCCGCCUCGGCGAGCCCAUCACGCUCUUCGGCGAGGGCGCGAUGGAGCGCCGCGACCGCCUGCGCGCGCUCAUGGCCCGCCUCGAGGCCGAGGGCCAGUUCGACCGCCUCCUCCGCGCGCAGGAGGACGAACAGGUAGUCCCGGGCGACGACGACGACGACGAGGGCGCGGAGCAGAUCAAGUACCCGUUCUUCACCGAGGGGACCAACCAACUGCUCCAGGCGCGCGUCGACAUCGCCAUGUACUCACUGCCCCGCGCCAAGGCCAGGGUCGAGAGGGCCAAGCGACGCCUCGCCGACCCCGACGAGGACCCCGAGGCAGAGGCCGCCCUUGUCGUGAAGCAGGCGGCGGAUUUCGCGCUUGAGCGCAGCGAGAUUGGAGACGACCGCCCGCUCACCGGCUGCUCCUUCUCCCGGGAUGCCUCAAUGCUCGCCACAAGCUCCUGGAGUGGGAUCGUCAAAGUAUGGAGCUUGCCACAGAUAACCAGAAUCGCAACCCUGAAAGGCCAUACAGAACGUGCAACUGAUGUUGCCUUCUCCCCAGUCGACAACUGCUUAGCGACAGCCUCAGCUGAUAAAACUGCCAAAUUGUGGAACAGCGAUGGGUCACUUCUGAUGUCUUUUGAUGGCCACCUGGAUCGUCUUGCUCGCCUUGCUUUUCAUCCAUCUGGAAAGUACCUUGGUACAGCUAGCUUUGACAAGACCUGGAGAUUGUGGGACAUCAACACUGGAACUGAACUUCUACUCCAGGAGGGACAUAGCAGAAGUGUAUAUGGUGUCAGCUUUCACCCGGACGGUUCUUUAGCUGCAUCUUGUGGGUUUGAUGCGAGUGCUCGAGUUUGGGAUCUAAGAUCAGGAAGAUUGUACUGUACCCUCAUUGGACAUGUCAAACCUGUCCUAGGAGUCACCUUCUCACCUAAUGGUCAUCUGGUUGCAACCGUGAGUGAAGACAAUUUCUGUCGAAUAUGGGAUUUGAGGACCAGACAAAUGUUAUAUUCUAUACCAGCACAUAAGAGUCUCAUCUCGCAUGUGAAAUUUGAACCCCAGGAGGGUUAUUAUUUAGCAACAUCUUCCUAUGACACUAAAGCAGCGCUAUGGUCAACUCGGGAUUACAAACCAAUUAAAAGCUUGUCAGGCCAUGAGUCAAACGUUACUAGUCUGGAUAUUAGUGGAGAUGGACAACAGAUUGUGACUGUUUCACUUGAUAGAACGAUAAAGAUCUGGUCAUGCAGAGGCAGCGCGCGGGAUAAUGAGAUGGAGCUGGAUUAAGCAUUGAUUCCACCGUUGCUGGAAACAGCAAUAUUGCUUCACAGCGAACUUGGCAGCGCGUAUAAACACAGAGUUGCAGACUGGGAGAACUGCAGAUCGAAAAGCAUAUCUGAUAGGUAUGUUUGCCAGGCAUGCCAUACAUUUUCUAUAGUACCUUAGUGGAAAUUCCACCAAACAUGACUGGAAAAGAUUGCCAGUUUUCAGUUAACAUUAUAUCAGUACAGAAGAUGCAAGUAUUUAGACAAACAUAAUUGAAUGAGCAGCAGUGCACACUGAUCUUUAGACGUAACGCCGUACAGAGAAGCUGGAUUGAUUCAUGUAGCAGAAGUUAUGUAUCAGCUGGAAACAGAAGGGUGGAAAUACAUAGUGUAAUUACCGGAAUGGUAUAAUUUUGAUACAUCCCACUGUCUCACGUAUCAUCCUAGCAUAGUUGCCAGUCUAGGAAUACGUCCUGAUCUUGUGUAUGUGUUUCUCUAAUCGCAUGCCCAUAGACAUGCCUAUCCGCCACCUCUUAAAUGUUGACAGGGGUUGUAUUCAUAAUCUCAUCAUCCACAACGUUUUUCCUGAAGGACAAAUUAAGUGCAGUCACGUUCCUUUUUUGCUCAGAAAAGGUAUUAAUAUAUUCGACUGCAAGUUACCACCACCUGGCCUUUAUUUUGGUGCUAUUAUUCUCAUGUGACAGCAAUAUAGAACAACGUCAGAAUCUUGACAGUAUAUAUCUUGACUUAAUAGAUGUACUCCCUCCUAUUCAUAUUAGUUGACGCACACUUGGUACAACUUUGUAUUAAAGUUGUACUAAGUGUGUGUCAAUUAAUUUGGAUCGGAGGGAGUAUGACUCUUUCAAACCAAAGAUUCCUAGCUGCUUUUCCAAAAUAUGCUCACUUUCAGUGUAAGUGUUCAAUAGGGAAUUUAUUACUACUGGUGUUGGACUGUCAAACAAAGGAAACCUUAAUUACUGUGGUAUCUCUCCGUCUGUAUUUACUUAGAAAAUAAUUCCCCUGGAAAAAGUGGGGAAUCCAUAAACAAAGAGGAAUUCAUUUCUACAUUCUUAAUUAACCAAUGAACUAAAAAUCAAGAGGGGUUGACUGGCUGUACCCGUGCACUAAAUUGGCAGCCGGUACGCAUGUGUUUCUCUAAACUUUAUUUCUAUCUUCUGAAUAGGAAAACAAUUUUGGGUUUAGCUACGAUUGUAAAAAACUUGAUGGCGAGAACUAUGUUGCAACCUUGCAGAUCCUAUAUCCUAAUGGUAACCAUGGUAAACAGCAACCUAGGCGACAAACAAAGGAGUAGCACCAAGCAGAAUGUACCUCUAAGUAUGCCCAGGAUAAGCUGUUGCCAUUGCCAUGGAGUUCAUCAUUGUCCACAACUAGCUCCUCUUGAACCUGUGGUUGAAUGACCUCCUGAUCCUCCUGCUGGGGCAUGGCCCAAUAGCUACCUUCAUCCCAUCCAUCAUCAUCUGGAAUGUCAUUGUUUAACUGGUUGUCAUCUGGUUCAAAUCCUUGAAGGUUAUCAGCAUUUUCAAGCAGAGGAUGGGGGCAGGGGCGGCGCCAGCGUGGGGUCGUGUAGGGGCGGCCGCCCCGGGUAAAUUUUGGGACCUAGGGUAGCUCCUCUACUACUUUGGUUAGUGGCCGCCAUGGAAGAUGAGACGUGUUCCCUGUAACCUGUGUGUUCGAUCGUGGGAUCAGCCGAGGAGGAAGACGAGGAGCGAAAUAACGAUUCAUUUUUGAGAUGGGCCAGCUAGUACGUCUUAUAAGUUGGUAGUAAAGGCCCAAUUAAGCAGGAGCCCAUUUUUAUGUACAGCUUCAAGCCUUGACGUUCCCCAAUUUCUCUAACUUCCCAUCACGAUCGACGGAGUAAACAAAUCUGGGCAUUAGGCCAUCACGUCUUCCGCCGCCGGCUCGCUGCCUCACCCUGGUGCUGCCCAAGCCCGAUAGAUGGUGCUUAAUGGAGAUCUGAGAGCCGGGUCGCCGCCUUGCCGUUCCCAAUUUCUGGCAACUUCGCCACUGGAAUAGCCAUGCGCCGCGCUUACAAGUACAAGCAAGCAGCCAUGGAGGACACAAACAGCAGGUACCUGGACUUGAAGAUUGGACAUUUUGGGAUGAAGAACGAAAGAUUCAAUCAGCGGGAGCACAAGUUAAGCCUUAUAAUUGUUUUGGUUGUUUUUAAUGCUUUUUUACCUAGUUCUUGAGAUUGAAACUACUUUGAACAAUUGUUUGUGUUGAUUGUCUUAUCUGUAUGCAUACUACUUGCUAAAUUUAUGGUGUUGAUUGUCUUGUUUGAUACCAUCAUGGAUUCGGAUUUUGUUUACUUUAAAAGUCUGCCCCGGGUAACUUCAAAUCCUGGAUCCGCCACUGGAUGGGGGUCUACACCAGGUGGAGGGAACGGGUCCUCAUCAGCUGGCCCUCGCCCAAGCAUGUUCUCAAGAAGCAAUUCCAUAGAGCAUGACCAGGUAUCCUCUUCAAAAUCCUCUCCCUCACACCAUAUUAAGCUCUUGGGGAUGCUGCCAAGAUCAGUUACUUUAGCAUUAACUAAAACCCCUCCUCUCCUAGUUUCAUCCUUCUCCCACAUCAUCAACCUACCAAACUUGCUGAUCGCAUGCGUCAGAUCUUCAGUGGUCCAAAAAUCAAAAGGGACUCCAGUCAGCAGCAACCAAACAUCUCUGUUAAAAUAGGUGCGUCUCCAAUUUCUCUCCUCAUUGUGUUUGACAAAAGUAAGGAAUAUAUCUCCAAAUGCAUGCGGAUUGUCUCUUAUUAACCUAUCUCUGUCCCGAACCCGCGCAAACCGCACAUACGCUUCUCCAAAAGGGCACUCUUGCCCAUCUCUCACCUCAGCAUGAACAGAAAGGGGGAAAUCUUCAACUACUUCUCUGACAUUCUGAAAAAUACCUCAGCUGGCCCAGUCUUGUGCAUGAAGAUAAGUUGGAGUUCAUUGAUUGGUUUGCUAAUAUCCAUAUGCCAAAUGAAGUAGACUGGAUGAUCAUAGGAGAUUUCAGCUUCAUUAGAAGCCCAUCUGAUAGAAACAGAGCUGGGGGAGAUGCCAAUGAGAUGCUUCUUUUUAAUGAGGCCAUUAGCAAAUUAGGUUUUGUUGAGUUGCCCCUAAAAGGCAGACAAUUUAGUUGGUCUAAUAUGCAACUCGGCCCUCUUUCGGAAAAGUUGGACUGGUUCUUCACCUCUGCAGCUUGGCUUACCUCUUAUCCUGACUCUGUGGUGCUACCCCUUGCUAGACCAAUUUCUGAUCACCUGCCUUGUAUGAUCAAAAUAGGGACUUCCAUUGCUAAAUCAAACAUUUUCAGGUUUGAAAAUUUCUGGCUUCACCACAACACUUUCAAAGAGAUGGUGGCCAAUGCUUGCACAUACCUGUGGGUUACACCGACUUUGCUAAGAAAAUUACUACUAAAUUUAAGAAUUUGGGAACGGCUAUUAAGUUAUGGGCAAAACAAUUGUUAGAUCUUAAAAAGCAAAUUGCCACCUUGAAUGACUGGAUUGGAUUAUUUGAUACUUUUGAGGAGUUCAGAGAGUCAAGUCUUUGCGAAUGGAAUUGCAGAUCUAUUUUGUUAAAGAAGAAUUACUUGUGGUCCUUAAGAACCAAAUGAUUUAUUGGAAGCAAAGAGGGAGAAUCAAAGGGGUUAAAUUUGGAGAUGAGAACACAAUUUUUUUUCACACAAAAGCAACCAUAAACCUUAGAAACAAUCACAUUGCUAUUCUUCAGAACGAUGACAAGGUGAAGAUUACUGAUCAUGAUGGAAAAUCAGCUAUUUUGUGGAAUGCUUUCAAGCAAAGAUUGGGCAUGACUGAAGAAACUACUAUGCAUUUUGAUCUCCGGGAUAUUUUACAUCAACAACUUGACCAUGCCCUCUUUGAAAGUUUGGAAACUCCUUUUACUGAUCAGGAGAUAAAUGAUGUAGUUAAGGAACUACCCAAUGACAAAUCUCCUGGUCCUGAUGGUUUCAAUAAUGAGUUCUACAAAGCUUGUUGGGGUAUCAUUGGUCCAGACAUCAGGCAACUAGUUCAUGAUUUCCAUGCAGGGAACAUCAAUUUGGAAAGCAUUAAUUCCUCAUACAUCACUCUCAUUCCAAAGGUGGAUUGCCCCAUAUCACCAAAUGACCUAUAUCCUUGCUAAAUAGUUGCCUCAAAAUCAUCACCAAGCUAUUGGCAAACAGGUUACAAAAAAUCAUCUUGAAGAUUGUGCACAUUAAUCAAUAUGGGUUUCUCAAGGACAGAGCAACCCAAGAUUGCUUGGGUUGGGCAUAUGGAUACCUGCACCAGUGCCAUGCCUCUAAAGAGCAAGUGGUUGUGUUAAAAUUGGAUUUUGAAAAGGCUUUUGACAAAAUUGAACACCAAGCAAUUUUGGAAAUUCUCAAGGCUAAAGGAUUUGGUAGUAAAUGGAUUCACUGGAUGAAAGUGCUAUUUAAUUAUGCCUCAUCUUCUGUGAUACUCAAUGGAGUGCCAGGAAAGGAAUUUUAUUGUAAGAGAGGGGUCAGGCAAGGUGAUCCCCUCUCCUCUCUACUGUUUGUCCUUGCUGUAGACCUACUUCAAUCCAUCCUAAACAAAGCAAUGAGCAGAAAGUUAGUUAUACCCCCUUUAAAUGUGGGUAGCUGUCCUGAUUUCCCUGUUGUGCAAUAUGCUGAUGAUACCCUGAUCAUUAUGAAGACAAACCCAGUUCAUUUGUUCAAUCUCAAGGCUUUGCUCAAUACUUUUGCUACUGCUACAGGUCUCAAGGUAAAUUAUCACAAAUCAAAUUUGAUUCCUAUCAACUUAUCUGAAGACAGAUCUGACAUCAUGAUUAACACCUUGGGAUGCAAAAGAGGUUAUUUUCCAUUCACAUAUCUUGGAUUGCCACUUGGACUAGUUAAACCCACUUGGUGCAGAGAAUUGCAAAAAAACUAAUGGGACUGGCAACAUUCAUGACACAAGCUGGGAGACUGUUACUGGUCAAAUCUAUUCUUGCAUCUUUACCAAUCUUUUUCAUGUGUUGCUUGGAUAUACCACAGACCAUCAAAAAACAAAUUGCAAAAUAUCUUAGACACUCUCUCUGGAGAGGAUCAGACAUGGAAGAUCACAUGCCAGCAAUGGUUGCUUGGAGUGUGGUGUCUAGACCUAAAAAUCAAGGAGGCCUGGGAAUUUGCAACUUAAGUGUGCAAAACAAUGCUCUUCUGCUGAAAAACUUGCACAAAUUCUUUAACAGUCACAACAUUCCAUGGGUAAAUUUGUUUUUUGGGAAAUUUAUUACAGUAAUGGCAUGUUGCCUGGUCAGAACAUGGUUGGAUCUUUUUGGUGGAAGACAAAUUUGAAACUGCUUGACUUAUUCAAAUCCAUGGCCAUAUGCAGUAUUGGUGAUGGGAAGUCUGCUCUAUUCUGGACUGAUCAAUGGCACUCUACAUGUCUAUUUCAAUGCCUGCCUCACUUAUCCUCUUUUACAAAGAAUACUCUAUUAUCAGUUCAGGAAGCUACCAACUUGGAAUAUUUGGAAGACCUGUUUCACCUCCCCCUGUCUACACAAGCUUAUGAGGAAUUCCAGCAACUUGAGAUCAUCUGUGAGGAGGUUAGAUCAUCUGAAUACAGGGAUUGUAAUGACACCUGGAGCUAUUUAUGGGGGUCUGCUAAUUUCUCUUCUUCAAAAGCAUAUACCUGCAUGAUUGGAGUUAAAAUUGUACCACCUCACUUCCAGUGGGUUUGGAACACAUCAUGUCAACCCAAGCACAAAGUUUUUUCUGGAUGGUGCUUAACCUACUCAGAAGAAAAACAUUUCAUUUGGACACAUACAACUGUGUUGUGAUGGAUUGUCAACAGGAAGAAACCUUACACCUAUUCUGGGGAUGCCCUUUUGCUGCUUUUUGUUGGAACUUUGUUUGCCCCAACAAAAAUGUAGCUCUGUCAGUCUUACAGACCAUUGAAGAUAUGAAGCAGAGUCUGGCCUUGCCUUUUGCUAUGGACAUUAUUAUUUUGGCUUCUUGGGCCAUCUGGAUAACUAGAAACAACAGGAUAUUCCCAAAUCCCCCCUUCAUUUCAAAGAUGAAAGGACACCUACUUCAUGGAGCUCAAUUUGUUAAAAUUCAGAAUGAAGAAGUACUCCACUUUGUAUCAAUCAUGGCUGGACUCUGUAUUGUAAUUUUCUUGGUUUUUCUUUUCUUUUCUUUUACUUCUCUCUGUUUGGCCUUUUUAGAUAGCUUUUAUUUUAUUUUAUUUUAGGUUCUAUUUUUGUUCUGUUGGCUUACCUCAAGCCUGUAAGACCUGCCCCUUUGGGGCCUUUCAGGGAUUUUCCCUACUGUGUACAGUCAAAAAAAAAAAGAAUGUACCUCAACCGCAGCAGAGGCUGAUGAACAGAGAAAACAACCGCCACACAGAUUGACCCAGCCAAUUGUAAGAGCAUCACUUCCGGAUUUGGUGUUUUCCUGAAAGAGCAAAGGGGCAAAGGAUUUCUUCAGUAUUGCACAAGACUUUGAUCUAUCUGGCUGGUUCUGCUUCAGCUGAGGCUAUCGCCGAUGUUGCCCUCUGCUCUAUGGAGCCAUGGAGGUUGUGAAGGUCCGUGUUCAGACACAACUUGCCUUUGCAAGAGGUUUAUCUGAUGGGCUCCGUAAGUUUGUGAAGGCUGAAGGAUAUGCUGGCUUGUACAAGCGAAUUGUUCCGCUCUAGGGCCGACAAAUUACUGUUGCUUAACUUGUAGCCCCAGGGAUAGAGUGUUGCUUCCGUGUGCUGAGUUCAAACCUGUACGAUGAACACCAAGUUCAAACCUGUACGAUGGCAGUGAAGUCGCGCCACCGAAUCUCUUUGCAUCCUGAUGUAAUUAGUUCGUUAAGUAUUCAAUUCUAUAGCAGUAAUUAUUUCUGAAUUUCUCCUGCUGCUGGUUACCGAGUUCCAAGUGACAUUCAGUGUUCUCUAAAGGAAUUUUUUUGUACUACUAGUAAAAAUGAUUUUUAUUACAUGAGAUAUUUUCCAGAACCA